rnacentral:rRNA from 1 species
UAUUACCGCGGCUGCUGGCACGGAGUUAGCCGGAGCUUAUUCUCCCGGUACUGUCAUUAUCAUCCCGGGUAAAAGAGCUUUACAACCCUAAGGCCUUCAUCACUCACGCGGCAUUGCUGGAUCAGGGUUUCCCCCAUUGUCCAAGAUUCCCCACUGCUGCCUCCCGUAGGAUCUC